UUGUAGCGUUUGGCUCAGGUAUAAGCAAGAACUAUCUAUUACAGGAAUAUGUACAAAUAUGGGGAUAAAAAAAAUAGUAUUUAGAUGAAAAUUGGGUUGUUCCCGGGGAUAAGAAAAAUAGCGUUUGAAUAGAUAAUAUGGAAUAAGAAAAAUAGUGGAUAGUUUUAUAUAGAAAAUGGAGGUGUUGGUGGAGAUAGUUAUACCUGAUUAUUAUAGGUAAUCGAGAACUAUUAUUCUCGGAUAAAAAAUUAGCGUUUGGGUAUUAAAGGGUUGACACUUAAUCAUACUUAUAUACUAUUUUAUUGCUUUAUUUACACUUAUUUAGCUUUCCUUAACUACCAAACAAUGAUUUCAAUAACAAAAGCUUAUCGAGCGCAAGUGAUAUCCGAAGUUCUAAGUUCAAAUCCUAAUUGACUCACAU
rnacentral:lncRNA from 1 species